GUAUUUGUGUACGAGGAAUGCUACCUUUCUGCUAUUGCUUGCUUUUGCGCACGAAUGAUUACCAUCGGACUUCAUUGGAUGGAACACGUGAAUCGUGGCCCUAAGGAAAGCCGUCUUAUGUAGACAUGCACACUCUAAGGUAUGAAAUUGUGCAUUACAUUAUGUAUAUAUUUAUUCUCGUAGUCUAUAAUUAAUGUGUUCGGAAUUUCCCUGACUAGUCACAGUACAUUAAGCGGGUCCUCUUUUGUAGGUGUCGGAUUUAUCAUGGUGGAUCAAGUAGUUUAUUCGUUUUGGUUCUAUCAUCACAUAAGUUGGUACGAGUACUAGACAUACGAAUAUUAUGAGUACUUUAUGUCAUACUGUGAUUUUGUUUUAUAUUUUUAUAUAAGUUGAUUUUGUUUUCUUGCACUUGUUUUGUUUUCCGAGGAUCAACACGAUUGAAUCCCUGACUUGAUUAGAUGGACCCACCCUAAUAGGAUAUUUCGACCCAAGUAAAACUCUAAACUAUAAAUCUCAACAUCCAAAUACUAAGGU
rnacentral:lncRNA from 1 species